CCAGACUCCUACGGGAGGCAGCAGUGAGGAAUUUUGGUCAAUGGGCUUACGCCUGAACCAGCCAAGUCGCGUGAGGGAAGACUGCCCUAUGGGUUGUAAACCUCUUUUGUCAGGGAGCAACGCCGGCUACGUGUAGCCGGACUGAGAGUACCUGAAGAAAAAGCAUCGGCUAACUCCGUGCCAGCAGCCGCGGUAAUACGGAGGAUGCGAGCGUUAUCCGGAUUUAUUGGGUUUAAAGGGUGCGUAGGCGGUUUUAUAUGUUAGAGGUGAAAUCUCGGGGCUCAACUCCGAAAUUGCCUCUAAUUCUUUAGGACUAGAGAGUAGUUGCUGUAGGCGGAAUGCGCUGUGUAGCGGUGAAAUGCAUAGAUAUCGCGCAGAACUCCGAUUGCGAAGGCAGCAUGCCGGCUCCACACUGACGCUGCGG
rnacentral:rRNA from 1 species